GACGAACGCUGGCGGCGUGCCUAAUACAUGCAAGUCGAACGCUUCUUUCCUCCCGAGUGCUUGCACUCAAUUGGAAAGAGGAGUGGCGGACGGGUGAGUAACACGUGGGUAACCUACCCAUCAGAGGGGGAUAACACUUGGAAACAGGUGCUAAUACCGCAUAACAGUUUAUGCCGCAUGGCAUAAGAGUGAAAGGCGCUUUCGGGUGUCGCUGAUGGAUGGACCCGCGGUGCAUUAGCUAGUUGGUGAGGUAACAGCUCACCAAGGCCACGAUGCAUAGCCGACCUGAGAGGGUGAUCGGCCACACUGGGACUGAGACACGGCCCAGACUCCUACGGGAGGCAGCAGUAGGGAAUCUUCGGCAAUGGACGAAAGUCUGACCGAGCAACGCCGCGUGAGUGAAGAAGGUUUUCGGAUCGUAAAACUCUGUUGUUAGAGAAGAACAAGGACGUUAGUAACUGAACGUCCCCUGACGGUAUCUAACCAGAAAGCCACGGCUAACUACGUG
rnacentral:rRNA from 1 species